GGAUGUGAGGGCAAUCUGACUGCAACAGCUGUCACCCCAUUGAUUGCCAGGUUGAUUCGGCAGAUCUGGCUGGCCAGGCAGGUGUCCCUUCCCUCCCUCACCACUCUGUGUGUGUCCCUCCCGAAGCUGCGCUCUUGGUAGCAGAGGGUAGAGGAGGACUCUUUCCUCAGUCAAGAGUAUAUGAGUAGCUACACUCCCCUGCUAGAACCUCCAAAAAAGCUCUCAAGAAUAGAGCAGAAAGCAAUCUUGAUCACUCGUACUGAAAUGAUUCAAUAGGACUGCCAUCAAAGAACAUCUUAUU
rnacentral:snRNA from 1 species